AGUAGGAUGUUUGAGCUAUAGUUAUGGACUAAAUAAAUCUGGGCCCGGGGAGUGGCGUGAGGCGGAAUCUUGAGGGGGUGUGGGCUGGUUUCUCAGUCUAACACAAACUUCGUUUCCAGGGGGAUGGCAUCCACAUCUGCCAGGAGUGGGGACAAAAAGGACAUCAGGUCAUCUCAAGCUGCCGCCUCCUUAGGUGGAGGGCAGAAAGUCUCAUUAUCCUGCUCUGAAGAAUUCCUGACCCGAAUCAGCACAGAACUUACAGACGAAGCACUGUUUAUUGCUCGCUCCCGUUUGAGUCCUCUGCCCAAUAAGGAAAAGAACACAAAAGACCAAGGGACUCAGAUAUCUAGACAUGGUGAACGCUCUCCUUCUUCAUCUAGAGACCAGUCCCUGACUCCCUUCCAACCAUAGCUGCUCUCCGCAGGAAUCUGCCAAUGUUUUCCUGCCUCCUUGCCCAUCCUAGGCACAGUGCCCCUUAACUUCCAACUCACUCAUUGUCACUAGCCAGGAACCCCCUUGUCCCUACCUGCUCUAGCCACAACUUUUCUAACCAUGGGGAAAGUUGUUCCUUUAACUGGGGCCUCUAAUUCCAGUGUUCUUCACUAAGACCCGAGGCACUGACACCCGGUGAGUGAGGCUCUGUCCUUCUCCCAGGACAGAGGAGCCUGUGGGGAGAGAGCAAGGGUUGACAGCAUCCCAGCAGGGUAGGGGGAGUUUUCAACCAUGAAGUUCUAUUCUAUUCCCUCCUGAUGCUCCACUUCCUGAUUCUCAGCCUAUUCUGUUGUCUUCUGUCAUCUCCAGCUCUGACAAAAAUCGAACCCGAACCAAGGCACACCUUCUGCCUUCUCCUCGUGAAAAGGGACCACUCCCCAACAGCCUGACAACUGGAGGAUGAGCUUGGCCCUCCCUAAUACUGCUCUCUCAGCUUCUUGCCUUCCCCCACUAUGUCCCUCAGUGAAAACCUCAAAGCCCCUCUUUUGCAACUGGCUACGCCUCUCAUCUUGGGAGGAAUGCCUGGUCAUAAGCAAUGCCACCUUUGAAACCAAGAAAAUCUUCUGGAACUGUUGCGGGGCCCUCCACCCUCCAUGGGCAAACGCUACUGAGAAGAAAAUGUUUCAAUAAAGAACCAGGAUCCUCUCUUCCCCGAGACGGUGGCAGUGUCCCUUCCCGAGACGGUGGCAGUGCUCUGGAGGAGCUCCUGGAGGGGGUGCCUUUCUUCUAGAGGGAGACAGUGCAUGUCAGGAUCUCUCUAAAAUCCAGUUGUCGGACACCUGCUAGAGCCAAACCCACUGCCUGGUACCUUUUAACUAGCCCUUGCAUCCAGGAGGCCACUCUUGAUGGUCAGGAGAGCCUUUGCCUUGGGUUCUGAGGACCCUGGGCCUCUGCUUCUCCCUCUGAGCUUGUGGGGUGGCAUGGUUAAGAGAGCGUGUUGACUUGUUACCAGACAGAGGUGAUGCGGGAAGCCCUGAGGGGUUUGUAUUUGUGGCCUGUGGCUCCUCCUUUGUUCCUCUGAGGAAGUCCAUUCACCUUUCAGCCUUACUUUCCUUAACUGAACACUGAGCAGCCCGGCAGUGGUGGCGCACACACCUUUAAUCUCAGCACUAGGGAGGCAGAAGCAGGUAGAUCUCUGUGAGUUCNNNNNNNNNNUGGUCUACAGAGUGAGUGCCAGGACAGCCAGGGCUACACAGAGAAACCCUGUCUCGAAAAACCAAAACAAACAACCUCAAAACUGUAAGAAAUUAUCCCAGGUUCCCAAGUUCCUUACAAGGAUUAAAAAACCAACGGAAGGUGGGUUAUCCCUCUUAAUUCUGAAUAAUCUCAGCACUCAGUAGGCAGAGGCAGGAAGAUUGCUUCCAAUUCAUAGCAUCAAGCCAGUGUGGACUACACAGUGACGUCCUGUCUCAAAAACAGAAGGCUAAAAAAAAAAAAAAAAAAAAAAAAAAAAAAAAAAAACCUACAAUGAACCACAUAGAAUCCUACCCACUCAACAGGCUCCUGCUGGAGGAUCUGGGGUUCAAGACCAACCUGGACCCAUCUCAAAAACAAAAGUAUUCAAUACA
rnacentral:lncRNA from 1 species